rnacentral:lncRNA from 1 species
AACAACUUGAGAGAAAGCAAGCAAAAAGAAAAACAAGAAAAUUGUGAGAGGAAAAACAAAAAAGAAGAGUUAGAAACAAGGAACAAAAGGGAAAAAAGAAGAAAACUCACGGAAAAAAAAAACAAAAAACUUGAGAUAAACCAAAACCAAAACCAAAACCGAAACCAAAAUCAAAGCCAAGACAAAAAAAAAAUGGAAAAGAAAAACACUUUAAAAGAAAGGACCGAAAACAAGAAACAGUAAGUGAAAACAAUAAAUAGUGAGAAAAACAAAAAAAGGAAAAACAAAUGGGAAGUUCUUUGAGUUUGGGUCCUGUUCGAGUUUUUCGGUAACGACAUUUUCAUUUCCAUCUUAAGUUAACUUAUCUCACAGGUUCUACUUGAGAUCCUUUCUAUUUAUUUUUUAAGUUUUAUUAUGAAUCAAAUAAUGAUUAAAGUUAUUUUAAUAAUUCCGUAAUUUAAGAUGUAAAGUUUAAUAUUCAUGUAAAGUUCUUUUUUUUUUUUUAAUUGUUUUAUGUUUUUAUUUGUAAUUUAUUUAUUGUAUUGAAUCAAAGAUAAAAUGUAAUCUUAGU